rnacentral:tRNA from 1 species
CCUGGUAGCUCAAACGGUAAAGUAUCUGCCUGGAAUGCGGGAGACCUGGGUUCAAUCCCUGCAUCAGGA